rnacentral:rRNA from 1 species
AACGAACGCUGGCGGCAUGCCUAACACAUGCAAGUCGAACGAGACCUUCGGGUCUAGUGGCGCACGGGUGCGUAACGCGUGGGAACCUGCCCUUAGGUUCGGAAUAACUCCCCGAAAGGGGUGCUAAUACCGGAUAAUGUCUUCGGACCAAAGAUUUAUCGCCUUUGGAUGGGCCCGCGUUGGAUUAGCUAGUUGGUAGGGUAAAAGCCUACCAAGGCGACGAUCCAUAGCUGGUCUGAGAGGAUGAUCAGCCACACUGGGACUGAGACACGGCCAGACUCCUACGGGAGGCAGCAGUGGGGAAUAUUGGACAAUGGGCGAAAGCCUGAUCCAGCAAUGCCGCGUGAGUGAUGAAGGCCUUAGGGUUGUAAAGCUCUGUUACCCGGGAUGAUAAUGACAGUACCGGGAGAAUAAGCUCCGGCUAACUCCGUG